rnacentral:rRNA from 1 species
UACGUAGGUGGCAAGCGUUAUCCGGAUCUAUUGGGCGUAAAGCGAGCGCAGGCGGCUGCUUAGGUCUGAUGUGAAAGCCUUCGGCUUAACCGAAGAAGUGCAUCGGAAACCGGGCGACUUGAGUGCAGAAGAGGACAGUGGAACUCCAUGUGUAGCGGUGGAAUGCGUAGAUAUAUGGAAGAACACCAGUGGCGAAGGCGGCUGUCUGGUCUGCAACUGACGCUGAGGCUCGAAAGCAUGGGUAGCGAACAGG